UACGUAGGUGGCAAGCGUUGUCCGGAAUUAUUGGGCGUAAAGCGCGCGCAGGCGGUCCUUUAAGUCUGAUGUGAAAACUCGGGGCUUAACUCCGGGCCUGCAGUGGGUACGGGCAGACUAGAGUGCGGUAGGGGAGACUGGAAUUCCUGGUGUAGCGGUGAAAUGCGCAGAUAUCAGGAGGAACACCGGUGGCGAAGGCGGGUCUCUGGGCCGUAACUGACGCUGAGGAGCGAAAGCGUGGGGAGCGAACAGG
rnacentral:rRNA from 1 species